ACUACCUUCCCCUAAUCAGGCAUUUUUAGUCUUAUACUAUUUGAUUAACAAUUUUGUUUUGUGUUUUGUGAAUAUGAAUAUAUUUUAUUUUGUCCUAUGUCUUUUUCUUUUCUUAUUAUAUGAUAGUUCGAGUUCUUUUGACUCUUUCUUUUUUCCUUUAAUUGUUUUGUCUUUUGUUACUUUUUGGGCUCUUUUGCCGUUUCCUUAUAUAAAUUUGUAAGACAUUUUAAACAAAAUCAAAAUUCCGAAAACGGAGUUUAUAAAGAAGAUUGGAUUCAUCAAUUCCACGUGGCUUAAUAUUAUUGGAUCUAACUAAAACAGAGUUUCUUCCAUAACGAUUUUUUCACAACAUAUGAUGCGACCUGGUCGGAUGGUUCGGAAAU